CAUUAACGACUUUUGUAAAUGUGUAGCCUCCAAACUUUUCCCCUGCAGUUUCAGAAGGUCAUGGAAUGAGAAAUGAAUAAAGCAAAAGCAGGUUUAUUUUCAAUUGCUCUUUUCUGGUUGGACUUACCAGCCAUUCUGAGCAGCUCGUGUAUUGAAUCAGGUUAAUGUUGAUUUCAAACAGCUUGAAAGCUGGGAACUUACAAAAUUACGGGUCCGGCUGGUCCAGUGAACUACCAGGUUUGUCAUGUUCCCGAUGAGGUAAGCUGUUAAUCCCAAAUUAAACAACAUGUAAAAGAUAUCAAAUAGCAUCUCUCUUGGAUUCUCAGCAUGC